GCUGGGGCUCAGUGGUAGAGCACUUGCCUAGCAUGUGUGAGGCACUGGAUUCGAUUCUCAGCACUGCA
rnacentral:tRNA from 1 species